UCCUACGGGAGGCAGCAGUAGGGGAAUCUUUCCGCAAAUGGACGAAAGUCUGACGGAGCAACGCCGCGUGAGUGAUGAAGGCUUUCGGGUCGUAAAACUCUGUUGUUAGGGAAGAACAAGUGCUAGUUGAAUAAGCUGGCACCUUGACGGUACCUAACCAGAAAGCCACGGCUAACUACGUGCCAGCAGCCGCGGUAAUACGUAGGUGGCAAGCGUUAUCCGGAAUUAUUGGGCGUAAAGCGCGCGCAGGUGGUUUCUUAAGUCUGAUGUGAAAGCCCACGGCUCAACCGUGGAGGGUCAUUGGAAACUGGGAGACUUGAGUGCAGAAGAGGAAAGUGGAAUUCCAUGUGUAGCGGUGAAAUGCGUAGAGAUAUGGAGGAACACCAGUGGCGAAGGCGACUUUCUGGUCUGUAACUGACACUGAGGCGCGAAAGCGUGGGGAGCAAACAGGAUUAGAUACCCUGGUAGUCCACGCCGUAAACGAUGAGUGCUAAGUGUUAGAGGGUUUCCGCCCUUUAGUGCUGAAGUUAACGCAUUAAGCACUCCGCCUGGGGAGUACGGCCGCAAGGCUGAAACUCAAAGGAAUUGACGGGGGCCCGCACAAGCGGUGGAGCAUGUGGUUUAAUUCGA
rnacentral:rRNA from 2 species